rnacentral:rRNA from 1 species
UACGUAGGGCGCAAGCGUUGUCCGGAAUUAUUGGGCGUAAAGAGCUCGUAGGCGGCUUGUCACGUCGGAUGUGAAAGCCCCGAGGCUUAACCUCGGGUCUGCAUUCGAUACGGGCUAGCUAGAGUGUGGUAGGGGAGAUCGGAAUUCCUGGUGUAGCGGCGAAAUGCGCAGAUAUCAGGAGGAACACCGGUGGCGAAGGCGGAUCUCUGGGCCGGUACUGACGCUGAGGCACGAAAGCGUGGGGAGCAAACAGG